GAUGAAGAACGCAGCGAAAUGCGAUAAGUAGUGUGAAUUGCAGAAUUCAGAGAAUCAUCGAAUCUUUGAACGCACAUUGCGCCCCUUGGUAUUCCAUGGGGCAUGCCUGUUCGAGCGUCAUUUGUACCUUCAAGCUUUGCUUGGUGUUGGGUGUUUGUCCUGAGGGACUCGCCUUAAAGUAAUUGGCAGCCAGUGUUUGGUUUUGAAGCGCAGCACAAGUCGCGAUUCAAGGCUAUACACCAGCUUCCACAAGCCUUUUUCACUUUUGACCUCGGAUCAGGUAGGGAUACCCGCUGAACUUAAGCAUAUCAAUAAGCGGAGGA
rnacentral:misc_RNA from 1 species